CUUAAAACUCAAAAGAGACCCGACUGUAGACGGCGGCGACCUCACGCGACCCUCCUCCGAGCUUCACACUUCACACUCAUGGAGGAAGCCAUUUCUCGAAUCCUCACAGAGCUCGAAGAACUUCGCCAACCUCCGCCGCCGCUCUCCGAUUCAGCUCUCUUCGACCUUCAAACCUUGUUAGACAACUCAAUCGGCACCGAUGAACAACAACCUGUUGAUCGCCUCUACGAGGACCUCUCCGCCAAAUCCCUCUCUCCGUCCUUUCUUACCCGCGCCGUCGCCUCCGCCAUGGAUGAGUCUUCCACUCGCAUUUCAAUUUUAGCCUCUAGAGUCUAUCUCUCCCUUCUUCUGGCCCCAAAUGCACCGGUCUUCACGCUGUUCAAUCCGAUGGAUUUUCUCUCAUUUCUCAGGUCUAUGAGGCGAUUCUUGAAGCAGCGACCACAGGCUCAACCCGACCUGGAUGAUUCUUCUAAUAAGGAGCCUAAUGCUCCCAAACGGAAGAGGAAAGGCGGUGUUAAGGGUAAGGGUUUGUUGAAUUGUGCGCUGAGGCAGAGUUUUAGUGGCGAUGGUGAACUCGAUGCAAGAGUCUUGUAUCCUGUACUUGAGAGGUUAGAGAUUUUAAUGAGUUUGAUUCAUUUGGAUCGAUUUCCGGAUAGUUUGAAAUCUUUGAUUGAAACUGUAAUUGAUAUUCCAGUUUUGGCACUUGAAGUAUGCACUAAUUUAAGUAUCUAUAGUAAGUUUACUAAUUUAUGUUCGCGGAUUUUGAGUGCUACAUUGCGUUCUGAGCAUGGGGAUCUAUCCAGUACUGCCGUUGAGGUGAUUAAGUCUCUGUCACCAUUGAUUCUUAAUCAUAAAGAUCAGGCGCGAGCGUUUGCGCUAGGGUUUGUGACUAUUCAAAUAGCAAAUGUAGCAAAGGAAUCAGAUGGUGUUAAGAGUGCUCUGGUGAAUCUUCCAAGGUAUUUGGUUCAGAAGGCGCCUGAGAAAUCUGAGCCUCGUAGUUUAGCAGUUGAUUCAAUAAUGGAGGUUGUUAAAGUGAUGGAAUUCCCCGAUCAAAUUGGGUUUGUGGAUCAUGUAGUGAAGAUGACCCGAGGAAAGUCUAAUCUUAGGCUGUUAGCGGUUGAUCUCAUCCCAAUGCUGAUAACGUCCUUGAGUGAUCUAACGGUCAUUGAUUCAGAAAGCGAACUAAAGGAUUCGUGUGGAUUUGGGUGCUUGGUGGCAUUGGUUCAACGUUGUUCAGAUGCUAGUGCUCCGAUUCGUGCUCGGGCACUUACCAACUUAGCUCACCUUGUAGUGUUCUUGGCUGAGAAUGACAAGAAUAAGGCCUUACUGGAGGAAGUGUUGGGGUCUGGUGACAGACAUUGCAAAAAGAAUGGAGGUGAAAUUCAUGCGCUUUUGCGAAAAAGGUGUGUGGAUGAGAAGGCGGCAGUUAGGAAGGCUGCAUUAUUUCUGAUUACCAAGUGUACAACCCUCCUUGGUGGAGCAAUGGAUGGAGAUAUGCUGAAGACGGUGGGAAUUGCUUGUUCUGACCCACUUGUUAGCAUACGGAAAGCUGCAACGUCGGCUCUCUCAGAGGUCUUUCGAAGAUUCCCAGAUGAAACUGUCAUGGUCGAGUGGCUACACUCUAUUCCACGUUUAAUUGCUGACAGUGAAUCUAGCAUUCAAGAAGAGUGUGAACACCUGUUUCAAGAACUAGUACUAGACCGGUUGUGUAGAGUUGGAUCUUCAGGUUUACCUAAAGGAGUAUUGGAUCUUCUUAAAGGGAUAAGUCAUGCAGAGGUGGUUCCUUGGGUGAAGAAAGUUUGUGCUAAUUUGGGGAAAAAGAAAAGAUUAAAACGCACAAUUGCAGAUUCACUUCAGAUAAUUAUAAAGACAUCUGAAUCCUUAUGGCUAAACCAAUCUUUGCCUCCAGAGAAGUGGACAGCUCCCCCGGGUGCCUGGUUCCUGCUGUCAGAAGUAUCGCCUUAUCUUGGGAAAGCCGUUGAUUGGGAGUUUCUUUAUCAUCAUUGGAAAUUCCUUGAUGAUCAUGGUAGGACUGAAUUUCAGAGUCCAGUGGCUCAAGUAGGUUUAUUUGGAGAGGAAAACAGCUCAGAGUCAAAUUCCGUUGCUUGGGCUCAAGAUCGGGUUUUUCUCUUACAAACCAUUUCUAAUGUUUCUGUUGAGCUGCCUCCAGAACCUGCAGCAGAAUUAGCUCAUGAACUGCUUAAAAGGGUUGAAGAAUUCAACAUGCAUUCGACGGAGGUGAAUGCACAUGUAAAAACACUUAAAACAUUGUGCAAGCGGAAGGCUGUGCAAUCUACUGAAGCCGAUGCCCUCAUCCUUAAAUGGGUAAACCAGCUGCUUUCCAAAGCCUUUCACAUAUUGGAGAAGUACAUAUCCAAGCAUGCAGAAGCAAACAAAGAUGUGAACUUCGUAACUCCACCUCCUAAAAGUGGUAGUCGAAUGGGGAAGAAAGCAACUGCCAGGAGCAAGUCCUUGUCCCGAGCAAGCACUGCAACUUACACCAUUGGUUCAUUGAUUCUCAUUUGUCCAUCGGCUGACAUGACUACAAUCAUACCACUUCUCCACACCAUCAUCACUUCUGGAAACCGUGAUCCCAAAUCUAAUAAACUACCAAUUCAAACUGCAUCUCUAAAGGAAACUGCCCCUUCUUUAUACGUUCAAGCAUGGUUGACAAUGGGGAAGAUUUGCCUUGCUGACGAGAAACGUGCAAAGAGUUACAUUCCUCUAUUUGUACAGGAGCUUGGAAAUAGUGAUUGUGCAGCUCUUCGCAACAACCUUGUUAUCACAAUGGCAGAUUUUUGUGUACGCUAUACUGCUCUAGUUGACUGCUACCUUACGAAAAUCACAAAAUGCCUUCGUGACCCUUGUGAACUUGUCAGAAGACAUACAUUCAUACUUCUAUCGAGAUUACUACAGAGGGACUACGUGAAAUGGAGAGGGGUUUUGUUUCUUCGGUUUCUCUUGUCACUUGUUGAUGAAUCAGAGAAGAUUCGUCAACUAGCUGCUUUCCUUUUUGGGAACAUUUUAAAAGUGAAGGCGCCACUUUUGGCUUACAACAGUUUUGUAGAAGCAAUUUAUGUUUUGAAUGACUGUCAUGCUCAUUCUGGACAUAGCGAUUCUAAUGCUUCGCGAGCGGAAAGUCGACUCUUCUCCAUCCGAGGCAAUGAUGAAAGGUCGAGGUCCAAGAGAAUGCACAUUUAUGUUUCUCUAUUGAAACAAAUGGCUCCCGAGCAUCUUUUGGCAACCUUUGCAAAGUUAUGUGCAGAAAUUCUUGUUGCAGCAUCAGAUGGUAUGCUCAAUAUAGAUGAUACCACUGCACGGUCUGUUUUACAGGAUACCUUUGAUAUUCUUGCUUGUAAAGAGAUCCGACUAUCGGUAAAUCGAGUAUCAUCAUCAGAAUCUGGUGAUGUAGAUGAGGAAGGAGGCGAGAGUGGAGGAGCAUCUGCUGCUAGAGGAAAGGUCAUCACUCAUGCAGUGAGAAAGAGUCUCAUUCAAAACACUAUACCCAUCUUCAUUGAGUUAAAAAGGCUAAUGGAAAGCAAGAAUAGCCCCCUUAUAGGUUCCCUCAUGGAAUGUCUUCGAGUUCUUCUCAAAGACUACAAGAAUGAAAUCGAUGACUUAUUGGUGGCCGAUAAGCAACUUCAAAAAGAGCUCCUCUAUGACAUUCAAAAGUACGAAUCUACCAAAGCCAAGUCAGCUGCUGCCGAGGCAGUCAACGAGAUGCAAAAGUCAACUAACUUUCUUUCUCCUGAGGCUCCUUCUCGAGCUAGAAGCACUAUUAACAAGAUAACCUCAAAACUUCAAAAUGAUUCGAAAGUUGCUUCAGCCAUUGCUGAUGCAGCUGCUGCAGCCACAGCAAAAUCUGUGCUCAGGGAAGUGAAUAGAGGGGCUUCGACACCGCCUUUCGGUUCUCUAAGUUUGCCUAUACUCAAGUCUUGUACCGGUGGAAACAAUGGCACAAAUUCCUCACAUUUGAAUGUGAUAGAAUCUUUGAGAAAACGCCAAUCUUUUGAGUCUGAUGAAGAAAACUAAUGUACAUGGGCUAACUAGAAAUGACGGUGGCCUUAAGGGUAGAAGAUCAACUAUUGUUUCUGCAUCUGGUUCAUUUGAAAGGUAUCGGGUGCAUAAGAGGUAAAGUGAGACAUUCGGUACGAAAAGAUGAUAAAAUGGCCAACUUUGGAGCUAAAAUGCACUAGGGAGAAAGAAGGCCGAGAAAUUACGAAAUUGCCCUUGGUAGGAGUGUAGCUACGCUCUAUGGAGUGUAGAGUUACACUCAAAGGUAGUAGUCUCACUUUUGGGAGAAGUAGGGGAGCAUAGCUACGCUAGGUGAAGCUUAGCAUUACGCUCAAAGGCAGUAGUCUCGUUUUUUGGGACAAACAUUGGAGCGUAACGACGCUCUAUGGCGUGUAGUUACGCUCGGAACAUUGACAGAGAUGCACGGCAUGCGCGCACGCGGGAGCAUAAGGCCUCAGCGUUGCUAAGCUGAAGGCCUACGUUGCGGAAACCUGAAAACCAGUGUAGUUACGCUCGGUCGAGCAUAGCUACAUUGCAAGCCUGCUAUAAAAUGUUUUCUACGCUCGAUUUGAGAAUUAUCCUGCCGCUUUGCUACUUUCUACACCUGGAUUCUUCUCCUCCCCAUUGUAAACGUUAGUCCUAUUCUAUUUUUUUCAACAUUAAACUUCAACAACUUGAUAUAGAGAAUGAUUAAGGCCUAAGCUAUAAGAACUUAGCUUAGGUCUUUUAGUUUAUUUUCAUUCCUUUAGGGUUCUUGAGAUUUUGAUUAGUAUUUUUGCUGAGAUUUACUG